rnacentral:tRNA from 1 species
GGCACUUUGGCGGAGUGGCCUAACGCGGUGCCCUGCUAUACAUUAACUGUAAGCCUAGGCAUUUCCUUCGGGAGCGUGAGUUCGAAUCUCACAGGUGUCG